AAGUCGUAACAAGGUUUCCGUAGGUGAACCUGCGGAAGGAUCAUUACAAGUGAGGCUACCGAACGCUGGAAAUCAGCGUUAGGAGCUUACACCCACCCGUGUUUACAUGGCUAUUCGUUGCUUGGCGGGCCGAUGGCCUCCACUGCGGGCUCUGCUCGUGUGUGCCCGCCCAGAGGACCCAAAACUACUGAAUGUUAGUGAUUGUCGAGUACUAUCUAAUAGUUAAAA
rnacentral:misc_RNA from 1 species